AAAAUUAGUGGAGAACACUGAAUUCCAGCCAACAUGACAUGUGCCUCAUGCCUCCUGUUCCCAUGCAGGAACCUGGCUCAGAAGAAGAAUUUCACUCCUUGGGAUUUUGAAGAAUGACCGCCAUUGAUUUGAGUGUGCAGGAAUGUGUCCAUUGGCACUGUCUGCCUCUUGAGCCUCUUCCAGAUGAUCAUCAUCAGUCCCAGGGAUUCCAGGUUGUUCAGAGAUAGAAAGAGUAAAACACGGCCUCCCUUCC